rnacentral:misc_RNA from 1 species
GGAUCAAAAGAGCAUCUUUAAUGACCCAAAUUAUGGAUCAGGAAAGCUCUUAAUUUUGUUUUGUUUAGUUAGAAAAGGCAGCAACUGGAUUCCGAUUACACCUUGUACAGCUUUCUUCCAGGGAAUUGCACACAUACUGACCUCUGCUUGUACUCCUUUUAGGCUAGUAACUGCUACGCUGAACUUGAGCAUGAAUUCGCUAAUGAAACUUGUCAAGUGUUAAGCAUUGUGAACGGAGUAUCUGUUUAUUGUGUGAUACAUAGAUGUGCUGCAUUGCCACUUUUAUCCACCCUCUUGCUGUUUAGUUUCUGUCAGUUCCCAGGAUAUUUUUUGUGUUUAGAAACUUCUAUGUAUUUCUU